CAUUGACAACUUACAUUAUUUCAUCCGCCCGGGAACUACGAGCCGCAGCUUAAAACCCAAAGGACUUGGCGGUGCCCCAAACCCACCUAGAGGAGCCUGUUCUAUAAUCGAUACCCCCCGCUUAACCUCACCACCCCUCGCCAGCAGCCUAUAUACCACCGUCGCCAGCCCACCUCAUGAGAGAAAACAAGUAGGCAUAAUGGUAACCACCAAAACGUCAGGUCAAGGUGUAGCCUAUGGGGCGGAAAGCAAUGGGCUACACUUUCUACACAGAAAACUACGAAAGACUAUUAUGAAAUCUAGUCUGAAGGCGGAUUUAGUAGUAAAAAGAUUCAAGAGUGUUCUUUUUAAUCUGGCCCUGGGGCGCGCA
rnacentral:rRNA from 1 species